AAAGUGUGGUCCAUUAGGUGACAGAAUCCCCCUGGGAGAACAUGAAAGGUCUAAGCCAUGUUCCAUUUUUAGUUAAACUUUUAUGCUUCUGUGUCAUGCAAAGGUUUCUGGAAAUGUCACCCUGUAUCUCUUGCUCAGUAGUUUUAAAGUCACACUGAAGGCUUGAGCCAUGUUUCUGAAACCUUCCUUUCCUAUCUUUAUUUCAACAGUAGACAUUUCAGAUGAACUACCUAGCUUCCAGGGUUUCCCAGUGAAGACUGAGUGCCUCCUUCCUGCUGGCUCAGGAGAGCUCCGAUCACUCUCGGUAAUUGUAUGAGCCUCCUGGAUCCAGGUGCUGGCAGAAGUUAAUGCAGGAACAGAAGAGCUGCACAUCUGAGCUGACCAUAUGGGAGAGACGGGGCCUGGCAGCACAAAUGGUGAGAGAACUCAGCCACUUUCAGGCUGCAACUUUGAACUUCCUCUGUGCCAAGCAUCAGGAGUGACUUACUGUCCUCAAAGAUGGAGACAUUUCCAACCAGUGCAGAUUAAGGUGUCUCUUGCCUCUGUGGACACAGAAGAGUAGAAGGCAGACAGUGAGCUAGGUUCUGUUUUCCCACUUGAAGGUAAAAGACUGCUGAUUUUUGUCCAUCUGCACGUGUUCCUUAAAAUCUCAUCCUGAGAGAUUUGAUUUAGAGUACUUUAACAAAUGGUGGAUAGGCAUAGUGGUAAGGAGUUCAUGGGCAGCUGCAGUAAGCCCAAGGUGUAAAAACAUCUGAGGAUAACUAAAGGCUGGUCUGUCUCCUGCUGAAAAUGGCCCUCAAAGUGACAGAAGCUCUACAGCACUUCCUAUAAGGAAAAUACACGUUUGCCAUCCUCAUUCUUUUCUUUGUAGCUCUUGUUUCCACCUGGACUGCCAAGAAGAAGUCUGCUACUUAGAGAAGUAGCUGCCUGCUGUCCCCUUGCCCUGUGACUGUGUUGCUGUUGGCACAUGGGAAAUGCUUGGUUUGUGCCUUUCCCCACAGUAACACUCAGAGCAGAGCGUGUCUUUAUUUUGGUUUGCAGUCAGGCUAUGCAGACACCGGUGGCAGAAACAUUACAUGUACUUAUGAGAUGCAAACCUAUAAGAGAACGCACUGAAAUCUACUAACCUGGUAUCAUCUGUAAAUAAUGAACUGUGUCCUUGUUUUAUUCUUUUUUGGGGAAGUUCAUAGAUAUAAAUCCAGAACGCUAUGGGUGCUCACCUCACUAGAGGUACCUAAUGUUUU
rnacentral:lncRNA from 1 species